rnacentral:pre_miRNA from 14 species
GUUACAGGCUGAAUUGUGCUCUGUGCUUUCAGCUUCUUUACAGUGCUGCCUUGUAGCAUCUAUGUCAAGCAGCAUUGUACAGGGCUAUGAAGGAGCAGAGAUCCGUUCGUCUCUUCCUGA